rnacentral:rRNA from 1 species
UACGGAGGGGCUAGCGUUGUUCGGAAUUACUGGGCGUAAAGCGCGCGUAGGCGGCUUUGUAAGUUAGAGGUGAAAGCCCGGAGCUUAACUCCGGAACUGCCUUUAAGACUGCAUCGCUAGAAUCGUGGAGAGGUGAGUGGAAUUCCGAGUGUAGAGGUGAAAUUCGUAGAUAUUCGGAAGAACACCAGUGGCGAAGGCGACUCACUGGACACGUAUUGACGCUGAGGUGCGAAAGCGCGGGGAGCAAACAGGG